rnacentral:lncRNA from 1 species
CGUACGGAGUACAGCCGUUUGAACAUUCCCUGGCGUUUCCUGCUUUUUCCUAAGGCCGCGGAGACCGGCAAUCUGCCAUAACACUGAUUCAAAAUGAAAUUGACAGGCAUUGCCAUGGCCAUCAGAGUAGCCUCCCUCAUCAGCGAGCACGAGGCGGCCGCCGCGGCGUGCGCGGGCGCGGGUGGCCGGCGGAAAGACGUGGCCACGGAGGAGGAGGGAGAGGAGGGGUCCUCAGGGGUGGACACCGCGGACAAGGACGCGCAUUCCCCGUUUUCGAAGUCGGGCAUGGACGCGCAUUUCCCGCAUUCGGGGCCCUCGGAAGAGGAUUCAAUCAUCUCUUCGCAUUCCGUGAAGCAUUACAGAGGAAGCGUGGGCUCCCCAUCUUAAAAAUGUCGUUGCACCACAGAUCACCCCGCCACACCUAAAGUAUAAUGUCAAAGACAAGUAUACUCCCGUUACAUUCUUUACGCCCAGCCUGCGCAUUGCAACACUGCAAAAAGACCUUCAAAGUAUGAUGCCCGAAUUCUAUCUGCAAAAAAUUCAGACCGUCCUACAGGAAAUGCAAGAUGGUGGCGUACAUAGGCGGCAGGUUAUACGUCAAAACUGGAAAAUGGGGAGUGGAAACGUUUAAAGAGGUGAGCUUAUUCAUAAACGUACAAUCUUCAUUACUGGCAUACAUUUGUUAAUCAUCCAGGGAGGUCUCAGACGACCCUUAAAACAUCCAAAAAGGGACAA